GAACAUCAACAAGUACUUCAAGAAAGUGAAGGAGAGCAACAAGAAGCGGCCCGAGGAUGCCAAGACAUGCCCUUACUUCCACCAGCUCGACGCCCUCUAUCGCAAGAAGAACCUACCCAGCACUAGCAAUGCUGGUUACAGCAUUGAGAGUAAUCCCCAAGCGUUGGCCCAAGCACCGCCGCUGCUACCAGCACAGCCAGCUCAAGAACCCGUACCAUUGCAAAUUCAGCAUGAAACCG
rnacentral:misc_RNA from 1 species